UAGUGGCGAACGGGUGAGUAACACGUGGGCAAUCUGCCCUGCACUCUGGGACAAGCCCUGGAAACGGGGUCUAAUACCGGAUAUGAGCUGGAACCGCAUGGUUCUGGUUGUAAAGCUCCGGCGGUGCAGGAUGAGCCCGCGGCCUAUCAGCUUGUUGGUGAGGUAAUGGCUCACCAAGGCGACGACGGGUAGCCGGCCUGAGAGGGCGACCGGCCACACUGGGACUGAGACACGGCCCAGACUCCUACGGGAGGCAGCAGUGGGGAAUAUUGCACAAUGGGCGAAAGCCUGAUGCAGCGACGCCGCGUGAGGGAUGACGGCCUUCGGGUUGUAAACCUCUUUCAGCAGGGAAGAAGCGAAAGUGACGGUACCUGCAGAAGAAGCGCCGGCUAACUACGUGCCAGCAGCCGCGGUAAUACGUAGGGCGCAAGCGUUGUCCGGAAUUAUUGGGCGUAAAGAGCUCGUAGGCGGCUUGUCACGUCGAUUGUGAAAGCCCGGGGCUUAACCCCGGGUCUGCAGUCGAUACGGGCUAGCUAGAGUGUGGUAGGGGAGAUCGGAAUUCCU
rnacentral:rRNA from 5 species